rnacentral:rRNA from 1 species
UACGUAGGGUGCAAGCGUUGUCCGGAAUUAUUGGGCGUAAAGAGCUCGUAGGCGGUUUGUCGCGUCUGCCGUGAAAGUCCGGGGCUCAACUCCGGAUCUGCGGUGGGUACGGGCAGACUAGAGUGAUGUAGGGGAGACUGGAAUUCCUGGUGUAGCGGUGAAAUGCGCAGAUAUCAGGAGGAACACCAAUGGCGAAGGCAGCACUCUGGGACGUGACUGACGCUGAGACGCGAAAGCGUGGGGAGCAAACAGG